rnacentral:misc_RNA from 1 species
CCGAGUUAUUCUACUCCCAAACCCCUGUGAACUUAUACCUUUACUGUUGCUUCGGCGGGCUAACGCCCCGGAAGGCCCGCGAGGGCCGCCGGAACCAGGCGCCCGCCGGGGGACCCAAACUCUCUUGCAUUACGCCCAGCGGGCGGAAUUUCUUCUCUGAGUUGCACAAGCAAAAACAAAUGAAUCA